rnacentral:misc_RNA from 1 species
AUAGUCAACGCUAUCCGCACGUACGAUAAACUUCUCGUUCCGGGCAACGAAAGACGAGAAAAUAUGCGGUGCAUUCGGCAAGCAGUGUGAUUCUUCGCAUGAAGAAUGAGCGCUCCUUGCUUAGUUUGAAUUGAUUGCUAAAAUUUACUCGGUAAGUAAGCAAUCAUAGCCGUAAAUGUGUUCGCUCUCGAUGCGGCUUCCAGUAUAUAUGUUGAUUGUCGAUUAGCGAUGACUGGAAGUGCGGUAUCGAAUGCUCGAUAGAGUGGGCACAUUUUGCUUGUYAUUUGUU